ACGUCGCUGGCGGACGCUAACACCUGCAGGUUCAAACGCAGUAGCAUACUGAGAUGCCCAAACGGGUGAGUAUAAUGUGGGAAUCUGCCUUAUUGGUUUGGAAUAACACGGGGAAACUUGUGCUAAUACCGAAUAAGCCCUUACGGGGAAAGUUUUAACGCCGAAAGAUGAGCCCGCACUUGAUUAGCUAGUUGGUAAGGUAAAAGCUUACCAAGGCAACGAUCAAUAGCUGUUCUUAGAGGAAGACCAGCCACAUUGGGACUGAGACACGGCCCAGACUCCUACGGGAGGCAGCAGUGGGGAAUCUUGCACAAUGGGGGAAACCCUGAUGCAGACGAUGCCGCGUGAGUGAAGAAGGCCCUUGGGUUGUAAAACUCUUUCGUCGGGGAAGAAAAUGACUGUACCCGAAUAAGAAGGUCCGGCUAACUUCGUGCCAGCAGCCGACGGUAAUACGAAGGGACCUAGCGUAGUUCGGAAUUACUGGGCUUAACAGAGCUCGUACAGUGGUUAACAAAGUUGAUGUGUGAAAUCCCAAGGGCUCAAACCUUGGAACUUGCAUCAAAACC
rnacentral:rRNA from 1 species